CAAAAUCAAUACCCCGACCGGGAUAUAUUCACUGUAGUGACGCUGGUCCCCGGGCAUUCGUGCUCUAUAGACACAAUGCGCGUUUGAAGUAUUCACUCUCUAAACAAAGAUGGCGGCCUAUGGACGCUGAAAAGACAAAAAUGUUUAUUAAAAGAGCGAUGUUUUCCAGAAUCUGAGUUCAAAACAAUGAUAUUGACCACCUGAUAUUUAUACACAGGUAAGUAUUCUGCUAUCUGAUAGCGGUCAAGCGUUUAUAAUAGGGAGCAAAGGGCAAUUUUGGGGGCCCCGUUGUAUGACUUUUAGACCUCGUACACACUCAACGAAUUUGUAACAAAUAUGACAGUUCAACUUUUUACUAUAAAAUGAUCGACACACGGUAUUAAAACAUAAACAUCAUUAUCAUUUUACAAGAGUUUCAAGCUUUUAAUGCGCGAAAUUAUUAUGUUUCAUGGCUAAUGUUAAUAUCUUUGACCCUUUUUGUCUAUAGAUCAGGCGUUCGUUGUGAGCGCCCGAAUUUAAAAUUUCACGAGGAAAUUUUCAACGCCCGUUUGUCAAAAUUGAGCCGCAGAGAAUGCCCAGUGUGCCCUUACCGAGUCCCAGUUUCUCACAAGGGUGAGUAUUUUAUUACAACUUAGAAAAAAUCAGAUUCAAAGCAUGGGUUUUAGUUCUUAUAUAAAUGAUCGUACUUGCUGCAUUGAAAUCGCCGUAUAAACAAAGAUUAUACU